rnacentral:rRNA from 1 species
AUUGAACGCUGGCGGCAUGCUUUACACAUGCAAGUCGAACGGCAGCACGGGAGCUUGCUCCUGGUGGCGAGUGGCGAACGGGUGAGUAAUGCAUCGGAACGUACCCAGUAGUGGGGGAUAGCCCGGCGAAAGCCGGAUUAAUACCGCAUAUUUCCUGAGGGAGAAAGCGGGGGACCUUCGGGCCUCGCGCUACUGGAGCGGCUGAUGUCGGAUUAGCUAGUUGGUGAGGUAAAGGCUCACCAAGGCGACGAUCCAUAGCUGGUCUGAGAGAAUGAUCAGCCACACUAAAACUGAAACACGGCCCAGACUCCUACGGGAGGCAGCAGUAAGGAAUUUUGGACAAUGGGGGCAACCCUGAUCCAGCCAUGCCGCGUGAGUGAAGAAGGCCU